rnacentral:piRNA from 3 species
UUGGUGGUGGUGGUGGUGGUGGUGGU